rnacentral:lncRNA from 1 species
GUCAUGAAAACUUUUGCUAGAAUAAAAAUUGUACGAAGAAAACAAAAAAACAAAAAUCACAGCACAUUUUCAAAUAAAAGGAAUAAGAAUUAAGAUAACAGCUUAUUAAACGCAAGUCUGUAAAAAUAUGUCUUCAAUUGUUUUUUAAAACACUGAACAGAUUUAGAGUGACGAAUUUGUACAGGUAGAUUGUUCCAUAGGGUAGCGGCAGCAC